UCUUACUGCUGAGCUCUCCUUCAAAUCACUGCUGCCAUGGCCUGCAGACCUAGAAGCCCACCCUGUUAUGGGAGUCGCUGCGAGCCCGCGGUCCCCUGCGAGAUGGAGUCUCGGACCGAAGCGCAGAGCAGAGGGAAGAAACCGGAAGCCUGAGGUCUUGGAAGAAGAAGAGCUCCAGACUGCGGACCUGAAAGCUUUACAACUCCUGAAGGCUGUAAGCCCCGUUCUAGAUGUUCUGACUGGGCAAACACAGUUGAAGAAGAUGAAAUGAGGACCAGAGUUAACAAAGAGAUUGCAAGGUACAAAAGAAAGCUAGUCAUAAAUGACUUUGGAAGAGAGGGAGAAAAUCAUCUUCAGGAAGUUCUGAUUCAAAGGAGUCUGUGUCUUCAGUGUCUGCUGAUGUGGAGACAGAUGAAAGUGUCUUGAGAAGGCAGAAGCAGAUCAACGAUGGGAAGAAUGCUAUGGCCUAUGAUCGAUACAUUAAAGAGGUGCCCAGACACCUGUGACAACCUGGAAUCCAUCCCAGGAGCCCCAACGAAUUUAAGAAGUAUAGCCGGCGGUCAUGGGACCAACAGAUUGAACUCUGGAAGAUGGCUUUGCAUUUUUGGGAUCCUCCUGCUGAAGAAGGGUGUGAUUUGCAAGAAAUACAACCUGUAGAUCUUGAGGAAAUGGAGACAGAAUUCACAGAAAGCAGCUUUGAGUCCUAGACAAGUUCACAGGAUAACUCUGAUGUAUAUGCUGGCACACCCACCAAAGUCAGACA
rnacentral:lncRNA from 1 species